rnacentral:rRNA from 1 species
AGCGAACGCUGGCGGCAGGCUUAACACAUGUAAGUCGAGCGGGCACUUCGGUGUCAGCGGCGGACGGGUGAGUAACGCGUGGGAACGUGCCCUCUGGUUCGGAAUAACUCAGGGAAACUUGAGCUAAUACCGGAUACGCCCUUUUUGGGGAAAGGCUUGCUGCCGGAGGAUCGGCCCGCGUCUGAUUAGCUAGUUGGUGGGGUAACGGCCUACCAAGGCGACGAUCAGUAGCUGGUCUGAGAGGAUGAUCAGCCACACUGGGACUGAGACACGGCCCAGACUCCUACGGGAGGCAGCAGUGGGGAAUAUUGGACAAUGGGGGCAACCCUGAUCCAGCCAUGCCGCGUGAGUGAUGAAGGCCUUAGGGUUGUAAAGCUCUUUUAUCCGGGACGAUAAUGACGGUACCGGAGGAAUAAGCCCCGGCUAACUUCGUGCCAGCAGCCGCAGUAA